rnacentral:rRNA from 1 species
AGCACCAGGUUCAAAUGCGAUGGGGUGACGGAUUGCGAAAUGCGAGCGGGCGGUUGGAAGAGCCCGUGACUGGUACUAAGAAGGUGGUUAGGCAAAUCCGGCCACGUAAUUCAAGGUAUUGGUGCGAAGGAGCUACGGCUCUGAAGUUGCAGGCAGUGGUCCCAGGAAAAACCUCUAAGCUUCAGUUUGAACGUGACCG